AUACGGAGGAUCCGAGCGUUAUCCGGAUUUAUUGGGUUUAAAGGGUGCGCAGGCGGCCAUUUAAGUCAGCGGUUAAAUCGUGGGGCUCAACCCCAUUCUGCCGUUGAUACUGGGUGGCUUGAUUGCGGUCGAGGUUGGCGGAAUUCGUUGUGUAGCGGUGAAAUGCAUAGAUAUGACGAAGAACACCGAUUGCGUAGGCAGCUGACCAGACCGCAAAUGACGCUCAUGCACGAAAGUGCGGGGAUCGAACAGGAUUAGAUACCCUGGUAGUCCGCACAGUAAACGAUGAAUACUUGUUUUCGGCGAUAUAAUGUCGGAGGCAAAGCGAAAGCGAUAAGUAUUCCACCUGGGGAGUACGCCGGCAACGGUGAAACUCAAAUGAAUUGAGCGGGG
rnacentral:rRNA from 1 species